UGACUUUUAUAAAAAAUUGUUUUCUUUGUUCUGGGUUCUGAACGAAUAAAUCUCCUGCAAGAGAGAAGUUUUUCAGAAUCCAGGAUGGCUUUUCACUGUGAUU